UGUUUUGUUUUGUUUGUUUGUUUGUUUUUAAUUCCUUCUCUCUGGUACUCAAUAAGCCAUGGAGAGGAAAGAGAAAGAAAUGACUAGAAGUUUACAGUCUGCUUACUCAUAGCAACUGAAAAUUUUCUUAGGUUCUGGUUCCGAGGGAGGGAGCUGAAGAACUCACCCAGGUGUCUGACGCGUUGAGAGCAGCGGCCAGGCUCCUGGUGGCUCCUGGAGCAGCUUUGGAUCCAUCUAUUUUCCCAUGAACAUUCUUCCAGCUGAAAACUUGCCAAAUUUUAUCAGCUGCACCAGUGAUUUCAAGCAGAGAGAAAGUCUGGAGUAUUCUGGUUGACUUGAGCGCCUACAGCUGGACACGGUGA